GGCUUAAGUGAAUAUUUGAGUGCAAAUCAAAUGGUGGCUAGAAAUAUGGCCCUUGGGCUU
rnacentral:tRNA from 1 species